CCCUCAUCUCCUGAUAGAUCGCCUGUUCGAUGGAGGCUACCCCUUUCUUCAGGGUCAAGAAACUUCCGUAGAUAUCCAGGUUACCACUUGGGAUAUGGGGAAAGCAGCAGAAAGAUGAGCUAUAAACCACUGCCAAAAGAAAGAAGCCAUGACAUUAAAAAAUUAGAGGAGGAUGAAUUGGAGGAGGUGAAGGACAUCACUGUUCGUGUUAUGUCCUCUCAGUCAGUGCUGGUUACAUGGACAGAUCCCAUCUAUGAGAAACAGAGAAAAGCUGCCACUUCCAGGCAGUACAGUGUCCGUUACAGAGAGAAAGGGGAAUCGGCAAGGUGGGAUUACAAGCAAGUACAUAACAGACGAGUGUUGGUAGAUAAACUGAUUCCAGACACCAUGUAUGAAUUUGCCAUUCGAAUUUCACAGGGAGAAAAGGAAGGCAGGUGGAGUGCCUCAGUUUACCAAAGGACUCCAGAAGCUGCCCCCACUAGUGCACCAGAAAAUCUGAAUGUUUGGCCAAUAAAAGGGGAAACUCCAUCCGUUGCUGCUACUUGGGAUGCUCUUUCAGAGAGUGAAGGAAAAGUGAAAGAAUACAUUCUCUCAUACGCCCCCGCUCUCAAGCCCUUUGGAGCAAAGUCUAUUUCCUACCCGGGAGACACCACAUCUGCCCUAGUGGAUGGCCUGCAGCCUGGAGAGCGCUAUAUUUUCAAAAUUCGUGCAGCAAACAGGAGGGGCCAAGGCCCUCAGUCGAAAGCCUUCAGUGUUGUUUUGCCAGGAGCUGUAGAUGAAUCAAAGAUUGGUCAACAAACAAAUAUUGAAGAAGAUCCAGAACCAAGAACAUCUGGGAAUAAUGUGGCUUCAUCCUCCUUUCAGGUGGCUUCCUCAUCUGAAAAUCUCUCAUCGUCCUCUUCCUCUAAGCAUUCGCAUUCCCGUCCAUCCAGUUUUCCUGAUGGCAGAGACUUGAAAGGUCCAAUUCCUGACCUAAAAAAUAAGGUCCUAGCUGGUGGUAGAGUUCUUACGAAAAACCAGCCAUCAUCUGGAAAAGGAGGAAUGGUGAAAACUGAUUCACACUCCACAAAAGGCACUGCUGACCAUGAUUCUUUCCAAGAAACACCAACAAUGCAGCCAAAAACUCAGGCUAUGAAGAGCAGUGUUAAAUCCCACUCCCCUUUGAAGCCAUCACACACUGUCAGUUCCUCAGGGAAAAUACCUCUUAGGUUACGUACACCAGUAAGGACAGGGAAGACAAGUAUUGAUCAGCAAAAAUCAUUACCUUCAUCCUCCUCUUCCUCCUCCUCCUCCUCUCACUCAUCAUCAUCUUCCAUUCCUAAAUAUACAGAAAAUGAAACAAAGAAUCUAGGACAGGACAGGACUACUUUAGAUAGUAGUCUACCUGUUGAUAAUGAAAGUAAUGAUCAAGUUGACAGUGCAGAGGAAAAGCCAGUAGUGUUUCCUAAAACUCCAGGAGAUAGUCAUUUGAUUUUACAUUCAAAUCAGCAAUCUUCUGCAUCUGGUAAGGUGGUUCAUAGUCAUCCCACCAAAUUGCACACUAAUUCACACCAUCCCUCUUAUCAGGUAGUUCCGUCUGAUACUAGUGAUACUCUUGACAUUUAUAACAAUGGGGAGACAGAAAAAAGGGAGCAAAAGCCAGCUUCCAGGUCUGUUUCUCCGCAGGGUGGUUCAUCUCCAUCUUUGCAUACAAAGACUUUGUCCCAUUCCAGUCGUCAAACAUUAAGAGACCCAAGAAUAGCCACCUCUGCUGUUUCUGGUGCAGUUACCCAUACUUUACCCAUACACUCACAUGGCUCCUCUUCUGUUAAACGUAAGCAUAAUGGAAGAUAUGAUUCUAAUAAUAAUGGCAGUAACAAUGGUGAAAGAGAUGAAGAUGAAGACAAACGGCGAGGUUCGUCAUCUUCUAGAUCUAGUUCUAGAGUCUCUUCAAGCCAGGCUGUAUCUGAACGUUCUGAUCUGUUCAAAUACAGAUCUGCCCUUACUAUGAAUCGAUUUGCAAACAGAGCAAGUAAUAUUCAUGAUACCAGGAUACAGCCCUCAAAAGAUCCCUCCACAACACAGCCCUCAAAGGUUCACCCUCAGUCCAAUUCUCACUUAACAUCUGGAAUGUCUAAUUCCAAUAUUGAUAAAGAACUGGAAGCUGAAGAUGAAAAACCUCUUUCAUCAACCCUUUCCCAUGGCCAUUCACCAUCAUUUUCUAAAUCUUCAGUGGAUUAUUCCAGAAAGAGAAUUCCUCUGGCUGAAUCUGAAAAGCAUCACAGAGUUGUGGCCACUGACAAAUCUAAUCCCACAAUCACACAAGAAGAAAGUUAUAGUGAAGAAAAGGAAACCACAGAUACAGAUUCCUCACAUAAAUACUCAGGUGGACAGUCUCCAGUAUCUGGACAUUCUCCCUCCUUAAAUAGGCAUCGUUCUAGUGUUUCUCACCAGUUAACAAAUGGUCAGAGUUCAAGGUCCAGAUCAGCAUCCCCAUUUACUGAACCCAUAUCUAGGACCUCUGUGGAGAGGUCAUCUCCUCUCCAGUCUUCUGCUUCCAGAUAUCAACUUAAUGGCUUAGAGAACAAAGAUACAUCUACUAAAUCAAAACAGUCUUCACCUUUGUCUAAAACAACAUUAACGGGAGGUUCUCAUGCCUUGUCACGUAAAACACUCCAACCAGAAAACAGCCAUUCUUCAAAAACAUUAACUGAUCAAUCACAAUCUCAACAUUCCUUAAAUUCAAGAAGCCAUUCCACAUUAACAUCUCAUCAAAGUCAUGAAAAGACAGAGGAUGAAGAUGAUGGAAAUUCUGAAGAAAAGUAUUAUGGAGAAACAAUAGAUAAGGAGGAACAGAGACAUUCUCAUUCAGUUGCUGCCAAAGAAGUCUUUCCAACUAGGAGAAUGUCUUCAACUUUAUCUCAGGGAAGUACCAGUCCUCUCUCAAAACAUUCUGAUUCUCGUACGAGUAAAUCUGAUGAAAGAUCUCCAUCUCAGCGUGAGUCUUCCACUUCCUCAAAAAGAUUAAACUUGUCACCUGGAAAACCUUCUGGGUCAAAGGUUAUUUCUUCUAGUGAGGAUACAUCUGAUGGAUAUAGAUUGCAUGCAUCUUCCCAUCAGUCCAAAUAUAUUCAGCCAUCAUCUACCUCCUCGAAAGACACAGUCAAAAACCAUCAAUACAACAGAGAAACAUCUUCCUUAUCAAAAUCCUCCUCACCUUCUCAGAAACAAACCCAUCCUUCCAUGCCCCGUUAUCCAUCCAGCUCCAAAGUCCCUACUAGGACAGAAGUCCGAACAGACAAAAAAUAUGGACUUGCUGAGCCAAUCUCUAGAAAAGUAGAACUUUCUCCAAAAACAUCUUCCUCUAAAACGCAUCACUCACUUUCAAGCAAUGAUGACAAAGACGAUGAGUCUGACCUAUCAGAAACAGAGGAAACCCCCACGCUAUCUUCAGCAGCAAGGUGGCGAUCUUCCUCAGUUUCAAGAGGCAGUAAAAGCUUAAAUAAUAAUGUUGCUAAUGGUAAAUCAUCAAGCCGUGUUUUGCCUCAUAAAGCAAAAUUUGCUGAUGAGGAGGAAGAGGAUGAAGAGGAGAUGAAGGAGGAGGAACAUCCUACUUCCAAAACACUGAAUGCUGCCCCAUUGGGCAGAUCUCCUUUUUUGACUUCCAGGACUUCUCAGAUUUCUAAAAAACCUCAUGCUUUGCCUAAAGUAAACUUGGCUCUGCCACACUCCUCAGGCUCUACUUCUGUAUCUACUCAUCCCACUUACUCUACUUCUUCAAUACAUUCUUCAGCUUCCCCCUCAACAUCCCCCAAUCAGCGAACACAGAAUUCAAGAUCGUUCAAUCCUUCUCAACGACAACAACUCCGAUUUCCUCACAGACAAGGUAAUGGUGGCAGACCGAAUCUAACAACAAAAACAGAUACAAAUAAUAAAAUAACUCCUGGUAAUAAUGGAAAACAAAAUGGGCAGAAGAUAAUAAAUGGUCCACAAGGAAUAAAGUGGAUUGUAGAUCUUGACCGAGGGCUGGUGUUGAAUAUAGAAGGAAGGUACCUCCAAGAUUCACAAGGAAAGCCUCUCAGAGUAAAAUUAGGAGGAGAUGGCCGUACAAUUGUUGAUUCUAAAGGAGCUCCAAUAGUAAGUCCAGAAGGUUUGCCUUUGUUUGGACAUGGAAGAUUUAGCAAGCCUGUAGCCAAUGCACAAGACAAACCAAUUAUAAGUCUUGGAGGAAAACCACUGAUAGGCCUUGAAAUGGUUAAAAAAACAACUCCUCCAACUACUACUACUACUACUACUACUACUGCCCCUACUACUACUACCACCACCACCACCACCACUCCUGAACCAACAACUACUGAGCCACCAACAGAGAAACCAUUACCUACCUGUCCCCCAGGCACCCAGGCAGAGUAUGAUGAAGAGGGAACUCUUUUAUUGGGCUAUGAUGGCCUUCCUGAAUGCCGUUCUGAAGCAGGGAGAUACAAUGUUUCCCAGCAUUGCUUUUAAAAAAUGGUGACUAAAUCUUCUCUUGCGUGAUGAGAAUGGAAUUAGUAAUAUUUAGAGCAUCAAAGAAGAGCCUCAAAUAAAAGGCUUCAGCAGCUGAAAAUGAAUUUGAAAGACGAAAGAGAAUUUCAGCAGGGGAAACUAGAACAAGGGAUUACUUACUCCUGGAAGUGUGCUAGCUACCAUUUCUCCAGCUGGUCUGGCCCCAGUGUUGCUCUUCACACAAUAUCAUUCAUGUAGAAAAGCAGUUCUAUAGAGGGAGUUGAUUCACUCCAUAAAAACAGCUGCCCCUGCUCAAAAGUCCAAGAUUUCAACAGCUCCUCUGCCAGUAAUUCAGAUGGAAACAUGGAAGGACAGGACGGCGCUUGCACUAUUUUUGCCACUUACUGAAAUGCCAAAGCUACAGUAAUCUUAUUGUGGACAAUGUGCUAUAAACUAUAAAUAUACCUGCCUUGAACUCAGCAUCUUGGCUGGCUGACAAAAGCAGCAAAACACCUGAUAGAAUGGGGAGAGCACUGCAACAAUGAUAGCCUACUCGGCAAUCCCUGUGCAGUCUGCAAAUCAGAUAACAGCUUGCCUUUUUAUAUAUUGCUACCAAAUGUACUAAAUAUAUGCCUGUAAAGAAUGUUCCAGAAUGCCCUCCCAUGGUGAACAAACACAGUGGCAUAUUCAGUUGAAUACACUGUCAUUUCUCAUGAAUAUGAAAGACUAUUUCCAAAUGGGCUCAAAGAAGUGUGGUGUGAAAAAAAUGCUGCUGUGGGUUCUACUAAACCUUUGGUCCAAUUUCCUCCUUAGGAUUUAUAAAGAUGAUUUUACCAGAUACAGCUCUGUUUUACAGUCAGAAAACACAUGAGGAGCCCAAGCUUAUGUGGCACUGAAACUCCAGACAGACUCUACGUCUUUGAAGAACUGCAGUCAACAAAGCCAUUAAAAGCCACUUUUAUAACUGCUGCUAUCAUAUUACUGGAAAAUAUAGAUCUAUAAACUUGAGAGACAGUAAUAAGCUUGGAAGUAUUAAAGGGCCAAGCAAUCCAAAUUUUCUGUUAUCUGAGCUUCAUAAUUUUCUGGGCUGUGCUACUUUUUAAAAAAAGCAGCUUGGUAAAGCUAGCCUUUUAAAAAAAAUUAAUUAGUUACAUUCACAUGCAUUCAGAAUUUAGUGGAUGCCUGCCCAAUGCAUCUUCUGUAAACUUGUUACGUGGCUAGAGACAAAGUCAGUGAAUAAGUAUGCAAUGAAACCAAGGUGGUUAAUAGGCUUUAAGCUGAAAUAUUGAGAACACUUUUCUGAAGGAAUAAAUGUUUUUUCCAUAUUCACCUUUUCUUCAGGUUUAUGUUGGCCUGGAAUAUACCAUGGCAUUUCUCAAGCUCCUUUUAAAACUUAAGAUCUAAGGGCAUAACCAGAGAAGAAAUGAUGCCGGUUACACCCAAACACAGUGCUAUUGUUCAGGUGUUUUUCAGGCUGACUAUUGAAAAUUGAGCCCAACCAAUCAGGCACUUCGUGUCAGCUUUGUCAUGAUUUGGACUAAUUUUAACAUAUUUCUGGUUGUUGGAAAAAAGGGUCUAUAUUAUGAAGGGCUUUAAAAUGUGUAAUAUGAUUGCUUUAGAUAGAAAAGUGGAUGACAUAUAUUACUAGGUUGUUACAGUCAGAGGUAUCUAUGGUCUUUUCCAAUGUUGUAUUGCUUACAGAGUAAUAACUGUAGUGUUUCAUGACAGUGUGUACAUUGAACAAUAAGCUGCAUGUAUAAAAAGCUACUCCUAGAAGUCAUUUGCUUACAUCAGAGGUGGGCAGCACUUCUGCCCCAGCUAUUUUUGUGAUCCAUAACCUCCCAGAAUCCCCAGACUUAAAGAGAGAGAGAGAGAGG